AACGCUGGCGGCGUGCUUAACACAUGCAAGUCGAACGGUAAGGCCCUUCGGGGUACACGAGUGGCGAACGGGUGAGUAACACGUGGGUGAUCUGCCCUGCACUUCGGGAUAAGCCUGGGAAACUGGGUCUAAUACCGGAUAGGACUCCGGACUGCAUGGUCUGGGGUGGAAAGCUUUUGCGGUGUGGGAUGGGCCCGCGGCCUAUCAGCUUGUUGGUGGGGUGAUGGCCUACCAAGGCGACGACGGGUAGCCGGCCUGAGAGGGUGUCCGGCCACACUGGGACUGAGAUACGGCCCAGACUCCUACGGGAGGCAGCAGUGGGGAAUAUUGCACAAUGGGCGCAAGCCUGAUGCAGCGACGCCGCGUGGGGGAUGACGGCCUUCGGGUUGUAAACCUCUUUCAGUAGGGACGAAGCGCAAGUGACGGUACCUAUAGAAGAAGCACCGGCCAACUACGUG
rnacentral:rRNA from 1 species